rnacentral:rRNA from 1 species
GGAGUUUGGUCCGUGUCUCAGUACCAAUGUGGGGGACCUUCCUCUCAGAACCCCUACUGAUCGUCGCCUUGGUGGGCCGUUACCCCGCCAACAAGCUAAUCAGACGCAUCCCCAUCCUAUAGCGGUGAACCUUUGGUGUUCGUCAGAUGUCCUCAAAACACAACAUAGAGCAUUAAUCCGACUUUCGCCGGGCUAUUCUCUACUAUAGGGAAGGUUGGAUACGCGUUACUCACCCGUGCGCCGGUCGCCAUCAAUCAAAGCAAGCUUCGAUUAUGCUGCCCCUCGACUUGCAUGUGUUAAGCCUGUAGCUAGCGUUCAUC